AAAAUGCGAUACUUGGUGUGAAUUGCAGAAUCCCGUGAACCAUCGAGUCUUUGAACGCAAGUUGCGCCCGAAUCCAUCUGGUUGAGGGCACGUCUGCCUGGGUGUCACGUACACAUGCCUCCCGCAAACCUUCCCCUUUUUGUGGACGAAGGGUCUAGCGGGAGCAGAUGAUGGUAUCCCGUGCCCUUUCUGCGCGGCUUGCCUAAAAAUGGAGAUUCGGCGACGAAACGUCACGUCUAGUGGUGGUUGAUGAGGCCUAACGGCCGACCAGUUCGCGGCGUGAUCGUUUGUCGCACGAAAGUCUCGGACGACACCUUGGACGCCCUAUAACGGGCGUGCUACUGUCGCGACCCCAGGUCAGGCGGGACUACCCGCUGAAUUUAA
rnacentral:rRNA from 1 species